GAUGAACGCUGGCGGCGUGCCUAAUACAUGCAAGUCGAGCGAACGGACGAGAAGCUUGCUUCUCUGAUGUUAGCGGCGGACGGGUGAGUAACACGUGGAUAACCUACCUAUAAGACUGGGAUAACUUCGGGAAACCGUAGCUAAUACCGGAUAAUAUUUUGAACCGCAGGGUUCAAAAGUGAAAGACGGUCUUGCUGUCACUUAUAGAUGGAUCCGCGCUGCAUUAGCUAGUUGGUAAGGUAACGGCUUACCAAGGCAACGAUGCAUAGCCGACCUGAGAGGGUGAUCGGCCACCCUGGAGCUUGGCCAGGGUCCAUGCUCCUGCGGGAGGCAGCAGUCGGGAAUCUUCCGCAAUGGUCGAGAGCCUGACGGAGCAACGCCGCGUGAGUGAUGAAGGUCUUCGGAUCGUAAAGCUCUGUUAUUAGGGAAGAACAGAUGUGUAAGUAACUGUGCACAUCUUGACGGUACCUAAUCAGAAAGCCACGGCUAACUACGUG
rnacentral:rRNA from 1 species